CGGGCGCUCUCACACACCUUCACCUGCACAGACUUGAAAGUCCAGUUUCACCAGAGGCUGAGGCUCCAGGAAAAGGGGAGCGAGUUCAUUGGAUCAAACAUGUCACAAGAGUCGGACAAUACAAAACGACUGGUGGCCUUAGUGCCCAUGCCCAGCGACCCUCCGUUCAAUACCCGAAGAGCCUACACCAGUGAAGAUGAAGCCUGGAAGUCGUAUUUGGAGAAUCCCCUGACGGCAGCCACCAAGGCGAUGAUGAGCAUUAAUGGUGACGAGGACAGUGCUGCUGCCCUGGGUCUGCUGUAUGACUACUACAAGGUUCCUCGAGACAAGAGGCUGCUAUCUGUGAGCAAAGCAAGUGACAGCCAGGAAGAGCCGGAUAAAAGAAACUGCCUUGGCACCAGUGAAGCCCAGAGUAAUCUGACUGGAGGAGAAAACCGAGUGCAGGUCCUAAAGACUGUUCCAGUGAACCUUUCCCUAAAUCAAGACCACCUGGAGAAUUCGAAACGGGAACAGUACAGCACAAACAUCUCCGAGAGCCCGGCCAUCAUCCCGGUGUCCGGAAUCACGGUGGUGAAAGCUGAAGAUUUCACGCCCGUGUUCAUGGCCCCGCCCGCGCACUGUCCCCGGGGAGAUGGCGAGGAGCAACGUGUGCUUAUCUUUGAACAGACCCAGUAUGGUGUGCCCUCCAUGGCCAGCCAUAGCACCUACCUCAAGGAUGACCAGCGCAGCACCCCCGACAGCACUUACAGCGAGAGCUUCAAGGACGGAACCGCAGAGAAAUUCCGGAGUGCUUCCGUUGGGGCUGAGGAGUACAUGUACGACCAGGCAUCAAGUGGCACAUUUCAAUACACCCUGGAAGCUACCAAGUCUCUGCGUCAGAAGCAGGGGGAAGGCCCCAUGACCUACCUCAACAAAGGACAGUUCUACGCCAUAACGCUCAGCGAGACUGGAGACAACAAAUGCUUCCGACACCCAAUCAGCAAAGUUAGGAGCGUGGUGAUGGUGGUCUUCAGUGAAGACAAAAACCGAGAUGAGCAGCUGAAAUACUGGAAAUACUGGCACUCUCGGCAGCAUACGGCGAAGCAGCGGGUCCUUGACAUUGCUGAUUACAAGGAGAGCUUUAAUACGAUUGGAAACAUCGAGGAGAUUGCAUAUAACGCUGUUUCCUUCACCUGGGACGUGAAUGAAGAGGCAAAGAUUUUCAUCACUGUGAAUUGCCUGAGUACAGAUUUCUCAUCCCAGAAAGGGGUGAAAGGACUUCCUUUGAUGAUUCAGAUUGAUACAUACAGUUAUAAUAAUCGUAGCAAUAAGCCCAUUCAUAGAGCUUACUGCCAGAUCAAGGUCUUCUGCGACAAAGGAGCAGAAAGGAAAAUCCGAGACGAAGAGAGGAAGCAAAACAGGAAGAAGGGGAAAGGCCAGCCCUCCCAAACCCAGUGCAACAACUCCUCUGAUGGGAAGUUGGCCGCAAUACCUUUACAGAAGAAGAGCGACAUCACCUACUUCAAAACAAUGCCUGAUCUGCACUCGCAACCGGUCCUCUUCAUACCCGACGUUCACUUUGCAAACCUGCAGAGGACAGGACAGGUGUAUUACAACACGGAUGAUGAACGAGAAGGCAGCAGUGUCCUUGUCAAACGGAUGUUCAGGCCCAUGGAAGAGGAGUUUGGUCCAGCACCUUCUAAGCAGAUGAAAGAAGAAGGGAUGAAGCGAGUGCUUUUGUACGUGCGGAAGGAGACGGACGAUGUGUUUGACGCUUUGAUGUUGAAAUCCCCCACGGUGAAGGGCCUGAUGGAAGCGAUAUCUGAGAAAUACGGAUUGCCUGUGGAGAAGAUCGCAAAGCUUUACAAGAAAAGCAAAAAAGGCAUCUUGGUGAACAUGGACGACAACAUCAUUGAGCACUACUCGAAUGAGGACACCUUCAUUCUCAACAUGGAGAGCAUGGUGGAAGGCUUCAAGAUCACGCUCAUGGAAAUCUGAGCCCUGGUCUCGGCGUCCCCUCAGCAGGGGCCCUCGGUGCAUUCCUCCCUGGGAGAGGUGGAAGCCCCGGCCCAGAGCCCAGAGCCCUGCCCCCCCCCACCCCCCACCCCCCAACCGCUGUUACAGACUGUGCUGGGAGCCGGGCGAGGCACAGAGCCCCGUCCCUUAUCAGUGUGUCUGGCCCAUCCCCUGGCUCCUGCUGGAGCUAAAUCCUGAGCCCCUCAGGAAGGCGCGCUGGGCCUGUCAGACACUUAUUUAUUGUCCACCUGUUUCUGGAGCCCCGGGGUCCAGGCCUGCCAGGACUCUGCAGGACACUGCUGGCCCCAGGUGAGACCGUCCAGAGCCCCCCCUCACCUUUCAAGGGAAACACAGCCAAUCUGUUCACCCCGAAGAGCCCGAGAACGCCUCACCUCCGCUUGCCCUGAGCGGCUGGUCAGAACGAGCUGCCGCCCGCUGCCGCCGUCGGGCGGGGUCAGAGGUGGACACCCGCGUCCUGGUCAAAAGCCUUCAGGUGUCUCUGGGGAAGGCCGUCCUGCUAAACACGUCUGGGGGUUUCCAGCGAGUGGCCGCCAGGCCUUGUACAGGAAGACAUUCGGCUACCGUGUAAUUAGUAACCCAGAAGCUGAAGAGCCACCUCAAAAAACAAGAGUGCUGAGCAUACUCAAGCCAAGACAGGCACGUGUGAAGUAUCGACAUUUCCAGAGACAGUUCUCGGGAUCUCUCUCCCAUACUUAGAGAACUCUCAGAUGACUCCUCAAUGGGCAUGCGCCCUCCGUGCCUGGACUAGGCUGUGAGGGGAUCCAGUUGAGUUGGGGUAUUAGGACAAUGCCCUGAAAACAGGAGCCUUAGUCUUGGAAAUUUGCUGGAAAUUGCCAGGUUGGCUCCGGCAGGUGCAGGAGUGCAGGUUCCUGAUCUGUUUGGCAGCUGUCAGCCACCUCUCCAUCAGUGCCAUGAGCAACAGGCUCAAAAACUCGAGAGUAUCGUGACCAUUGCUAGUCCGUAGGGACAAACGGUGAAGACAGAACCCCUGCAGGCCAACUCCAUUCCCACAGGAGGUCUGGAUGGCCCACGAGGCACCUACUGUAGCUGACACUCAGUCCCUUUUUUCUAGGUUAAUGGCCUUCUGUGCUGGAUGGAGGCAGGGCCAAUGACAACGACAAAACACAUACACCCUGAUCCGAAUUGCAUGGAAGGUGUGGGGUCCGCAUCACAUCAUCUUUUCUACGGACUCUUCUCCAGACUGAAAAGGUUAGAGGGCAGAGAAGAGGAGAUCAAUCUGUCACUGAAGAGGAAGUUGCCUUCCAUUGCACUUAACGUGUGGACUAGAGUUUGCAGCUCCAGUUGUGAGGAAGGAGAGGCGGUGAGAAGAAAGUGAGGGCCAAGAAAUAAGUGAGUGGAGAGAAGUAAGGAAGCCCACGUGCAGACCCAGGAUGCUUUCGGACAGGGCUUUGGGCUCGGCACCUCCCCAUUCCCUUCUCACAAACCCUGGCUCCCGUGUCUCUAGGGCAGGAACCAUGCCCGGUGCGGGGAGGCGGGUAUCAGCACCUGGACCCUCACUCAGGCAUAUUGACCUGGGGCAGCAUGGUCAAUGAGGCACAAAACCCUUAUGUCCCAAACAAUCAAGUGCUUGAAUGCCAAGCUAGUGAGACACAAGGUCAACUGAUAUGGGGGCCUCUCCACAUGAUGGGAUCUAUGAAUAUAUAUAUAGAUGAUCCUUGAACAACAUGGGUUCGAACUACGUGGGUCUGCAUAUAUGCAGAUUUAUAAUACUGUAAAUGUAUUUUCUCUUCCUGUGACUUUCUUACAUUUUCUUCUCUAGCUUGCUUUACUGUAAGAAUACAGUGUAUAACAUAUAUACAAAAUAGGAGUUAAUUGACUAUGUUAUCAGUAAGGCUUCUGGUCAACAGGCUAUUAGUAGUAAUGUUUUGGGGAGUCAAAAGUUAUGUGUGGAUUUUUGACUGCAUAGGGGUCUGUACCCGUAACCCCCCCAUUGUUCAAGGAUCAACUGUAGAUUAUUAAAUCCAUUUGUGGGAAGUGCCCCCUGGGACAUAGAGAUGGGAUGGGACAGCACCCUCCACAUCCCUUCCCCACCCUCAACAAGGGUAUGAACGGAUAGUCGGCCACUCUGUAUCAUCCUUCAAGUCAUAAGCCACUUUAUUCCAGUCCCUUGAAAUCACAGACUGCCUUGAUUUUAGACAGAACAGACCAUUUCCAGAGGUCCCUCAACACAGCAAUGACAAUAAACAGCCCAGCAAAGGAGUGACAUAAACUUUUAGGCAUUCAACCUUCUGGGUGCUGCAGAGUCCCUUGGCCAAAUUUAAGUGCGUUGCAUUGGACAUACAAAGCCCUUCCUGGGAAGGAAUAGAAGAGAAAAACAACCAUCGAGAAAAUACAGACAGGGUCAAUGGCAGGCCAGGACGAGGACUAUUUCUGUGCAUCUCAGGCAUGUCGGUGUUCGUCAGCCAUGCAUCUGGCUCUGUUUUCUCUCCUAAGCAGCUGGAGCCCCUCUCCCCUCCUUCUCACUACAGCUCUCAGUUCUAGGGAACUGGAUGAGUCUGGCUCAACAAGAUGUCCUGACCAAAGGCAGAGCCCAGGCGGACUUGCCCAAAUAUUAACUGACUCCCCACCCUCUUUGGAGAACUGAAAGGGAGGAAUUUGGUCUUCAGUCCACAGCAGGAAGGGCUUUCCCUCCCAACCCCCGGGUGGGGGAAGGAUGCACCUCCUGAACACGACCAGCAGAGGUGCUGGGUCCCUCACCCCCUCUGCUCUCCGCCUCUUAGGGUAAUCCCCUGGUUUUCAGACCCAGAUCUUACCACUCGGCCCAAGGAGGAAUUCGGCAAGUCUCAGGACUGACCGACUGGGAGGAGCUGACACUUAGAGGAAGAUAAAGAUUAUUUUACCAAGUCUAGGCCUCCAAAUUUCAUUCUGCAAAGUUGGUUCAUUUUGGCCAACCAUACAAAUUCAGAUUUUUGCUACCAGUUAAAAUGGACUCAAGUAACACUGAGGAAUCUAGAGUUAGAAUGGACUCAACAUCAUCUUCCUCACGGUUAUUUCUGUCUUUCUGUGGGUCAUGAUCUUCAGGAAGUAGCUUCAGUGCAGACAGACCCACUAAGGACCUCUCGGCCUCCUCCUGGGGCAUCCUUGAGGGUUUGGACUUCCCCAUGCCUACUGCUUGGGAAAAUAUGACGGACUUACCUGUGAUCAAUUUUUACUCUUAACUUUCAAUUCCAAUUAGUGUGCGUGAGAUCGCCAGACCAAACAGCGACGCAAAUUUGCACUGUCACCUCUCAAAAUAGAAAUCUGCCUUCAAAGAACAUGGUGAUGGAAAAUACUUUGGGAUUCCCCAUAGCAGGCCCUGGAUAUCACAGACGCACUGGCCCGGGCCUUCUUCAUGAUGAGUCAGCCGGCUGCCCGACCUCUGAUUGUUUGAAGGGCCACUGGGUGCAUGAAAAGGUCAGUAUUCCAGAUACAACUCCCUAAUCAUACAUGUGGCUUAAACCACUGGGAAGUCCCAAGAAUUUAUGGUAUAUAUAUUUUUUUCGGGUCUAAGGAAUAUUGAUCUAUUCAGAAGAGCACCACACUUCCAAUCUAAUACCACUGAGCUGCUGGGCUGAGUGAGCUAACCAUCACCUCACAUCUCUCACAAAUAUUAACCUUCUGGUGGCUCCCAAGGACGUGUCCCACUUAAACCUGCCCUAGUCUAUUCUCCAGGCACGACCACUCUGGAAAUGCGUUCGAAAUUAAGGUUGGGUCCUAGUCAUGGUGACUUUGUACUUCUCUGGAAUAUAUAAAAUAUACCUGUUGAUUGGUGCAUUUGUGCAAAGACAGAUAGGACUUUAAAACAAGACACAGACAUUCAUUAUAGUUGGCUUACUUCACAUUAAGCUACUAAAAACAGUCUUCUGUAAUAAGAUUGUAUUAGUGCUCACUAAACAUGCAUUUCAUUUAAACAAGGCAAAACACUUAAUUUGGUCUGCAAUACCCAAUAGUUUAUGUACAGCAGUCUUUUGUCUUAAUCACAAUAGGCAACAAGAUGGGUCUGGUUUUGUUAUAUAAGUUACCAUUUGUGUUUAAUUUCCAAAGAAACUCAGCUCAGCUAGUGUAAACGCCGUGAGAAAACAGCUGAGCCAUCAUUUUCCUCUUCUCUACGAAUUUACCUUGACACGUUCACAGCUUAGACACUACAACAGCCUGCUGGGGAAGAGGGUGGAGCGGACGCCUCCACGUCCCUUCUAUAGCCUGGCCCCAGAGGGUUCCUUGUCCUUGCGGAACCCAACACAUGGCACCAUCACCCCGAGGGCACGUGCGACUCCAGACCCGGGUGGGGAGUUUUGUUUUUCCAACAAGCCCCUGGAAGCUUGCGAUUGAAUCACUGGACCGAAUUGUUUUCCCUUCUCUUGCCUCCCCGAGUCUUCGGUUUCCGAACAGAGACAUUGGAAUCAGAAGAAAAAUGACAAUGAUAAUAGCGAUGGAGAAAUCAUAGAACAACGAACACCACAAGGUCUGUGCAAGACAGCACUGUCCAUGCUCGGCCACAAGCGAUUGGGGCUCCGGGCAUUCCCACAACAAAGGAAGCUGAAGGCGUCACGGAGGAAGGUGCAUCUGACCUCACGGGGGGGCAGCAUCACCAUCAAUAUUGUUUGGCAAAAAAAAAAAAAAAAAGACAAACUUGUUAAAAAGGAAGAUCGAAA